rnacentral:lncRNA from 1 species
CUGCAUCGACUGCAACAUCAUGAGGUAUUGUUUAGAAUUAUUGGUCAUGGCCAUCCACAAAAGCAGCGGUCAUUCGCACUCUAGCACGAGCCUUAUGGACAACCCGAUCCAUAGAUCAAGCGUGUGGAAGAGCCAGAAGUGUGGGUAUGUACUCAAAGUUCCAAGCCUUGGAGGAUUCCUAGGUUGUCGACUACUACGAAAACAAUCAAUCGAACAAUAAAAAUGUUGUAAACUUAGUAUUAUUAUUUGUUGUAAUCAAUAAAAUUAAACUGAAAUAUAAUUAUGACAAUGGGAUAGCAAAUUUGAUAAUGAUCAAGUCAAUGAGCAAAUGCAUUGAAUGAAUUUUCUUAACAAGGGAAGAUGACAAAAUUACAAAUCAAAUAUAGAUUUACAAAAUCGCUAUAAAAUCAUAAUAGAACUAAACAGUAGAUGAGGUACAAAUUACCAAAUCUUCUUAAGGCGAUUAGCUUAUGCUAAAAAUGCUUUGCAAAUUUACAAACUUUGUCUCCCAAAAGUUAACUCCCCGAAUAUGUUUGCAUAAACACUAUGCAAAUAUGACUUGAUUGAACUUUUCCUCAAACUGGAAAAAUUAAAGAUUAAAACAGUUAUCUAAGCAUAGAAGUGUUGUAUAUUCUUUGUUUUUCUUUGAAGAACAAUUUGUUUCAAUUUAUAAUGUUUGAAAGGGUAGGAACUAAAGAGACAUAUUUAAAAGGACAUGAAUGUACAUGUCUUUUAAAGGCAAAGAAACUACUAUAGAAAAUUAAAAGGACAUGAAUGUACAUGUCUUUUAAAGGCAAAGAAACUACUAUAGAAAUUUGAAAGGACAUGAAUUGAAGAGACAUGUAUGUUUUGCUCACUUUACAUAGUUUGGUCUGUGUAACAUAUGUCCACGGUGAGAAUAGUAUAGAAUUCCACUAUGGACCAAGCAAUAUAAUGAAGACUAUAACCACACUUAAGUCACUCAAAUACUCUUAGUAUUCACAACCCUCAAUUACACAUAAUAACUAACAUAGUGUUUAACCCCAUAAUUUCUCACAAAAUAAUCUCUCAAUCUUGCCAAAAAAAAGAAAAAUCACAAAUCUUACUAUAAGAUUUAUUGGUCUCAACAAUCCGUUACUUCAGGGUGCAAUUCACAAAAAAAUAGCCUUAUUGAUAUUCUUUACAAAUAAAACCCUUUUUAUAUAUAGACAAUAAUUGGAUCUAAAAGACAAAAACCUACUUAAACUCUAUAAAUAGGAAAUCAACUUCAACUAGGAAACCAAUUUAUAUUAUGAAAGUUUCAUUUUA